UGGGGAAUUUUGGACAAUGGGCGAAAGCCUGAUCCAGCAAUGCCGCGUGUGUGAAGAAGGCCUUCGGGUUGUAAAGCACUUUUGUCCGGAAAGAAAUCCUCUGGGUUAAUACCUCGGGGGGAGUGACGGUACCGGAAGAAUAAGCACCGGCUAACUACGUGCCAGCAGCCGCGGUAAUACGUAGGGUGCAAGCGUUAAUCGGAAUUACUGGGCGUAAAGCGUGCGCAGGCGGUUUUGUAAGACGGAUGUGAAAUCCCCGGGCUUAACCUGGGAACUGCAUUCGUGACUGCAAGGCUAGAGUAUGGCAGAGGGGGGUAGAAUUCCACGUGUAGCAGUGAAAUGCGUAGAGAUGUGGAGGAAUACCGAUGGCGAAGGCAGCCCCCUGGGCCAAUACUGACGCUCAUGCACGAAAGCGUGGGGAGCAAACAGGAUUAGAUACCCUGGUAGUCCACGCCCUAAACGAUGUCAACUAGUUGUUGGGGAUUCAUUUCCUUAGUAACGUAGCUAACGCGUGAAGUUGACCGCCUGGGGAGUACGGUCGCAAGAUUAAAA
rnacentral:rRNA from 1 species